rnacentral:lncRNA from 1 species
UCUCCGGUGCAGCAUCAUUUCACCUUUGGUUCAACUGUCAAGUCCUUGAGCCGCGAGGAAAGCAGCAUCUCUGACAGCUCCUCCCAGGGAAUCCCAAAGGGCCACAGAGGAAAAGAUGUGGCAGAGCAAGCAACUCACAGUGGAAGAAGAUCCUCAGGAAUAGUGGAACUCUAGUGAAGUCAUACAAACUACCUUAAAACUGUGAGCCACAGGUCUGAGAGCAGCCAACACACUCUCUGUGAUCCUCAGUUCCAGCUCUCAGUUUCCAAGACCACAUGAAUUUCCAGAGAAAUUAGCCCGGAUUAAUUCCAACAGUGUGAUUAAACAACAGAAGAGUGAGAUGCAGAACCAUGCUACUUCUCCAUUAAGAGGUGAAAUCCAUGUCUCUUCUCCUCUGGGGUGGGCCUUCGAGACUGCCUUGACCAGUGGAGAAUUGUAGAAAUCACACUAUGCCAUGCACUUCUGCCUUGUUCUUUUGGAACGCUCAGUCUUGGAACCCAGCCGCCAUUCUGUGAAGAAGCCCAA